rnacentral:rRNA from 1 species
UACGUAGGUGGCAAGCGUUGUCCGGAUUUACUGGGCGUAAAGAGCGCGCAGGCGGUCGGAUAAGUCGAAUGUGAAAGCCCCCGGCUCAACUGGGGAGGGUCAUUCGAUACUGCUCGACUUGAAGGCAGGAGAGGGUAGUGGAAUUCCCGGUGUAGUGGUGAAAUGCGUAGAUAUCGGGAGGAACACCAGUGGCGAAGGCGACUACCUGGCCUGUUCUUGACGCUGAGGCGCGAAAGCUGGGGGAGCAAACGGG